rnacentral:misc_RNA from 1 species
AAACUGCGAUAAGUAGUGUGAAUUGCAUUUAGUGAAUCAUCGAAUCUUUGAACGCACCUUGCACUCACUGGUAUUCCGGUGAGUACGCCUGUUUCAGUAUCAUUGAAAACACACAAUCAAAACAUUUUCUUUGGUUUGAUUGGCUUUGGGUCUAUCAAAAAGUUUGGCUUGUUUCUUACAAGCCAAGCGGUCUGAAAUAUAUUGUCUGGCUAAUUGCAUCGUUGAUGAUCGCUAUUAGACUUUGGCUUUUUUAAAUGAACUGGAGGUUGAUUAACCAGUUUUAGCUUUAGUCAAAUGGUCAUUGUAAAAAAAAUCUCGAUCUUGGCUAGGUGUUUAUAGCCGAAAAUUUUUUUUUGGCUAUAACCGAAACCAAUAUAAUCACAUUUAGUUAUCGAUCUGAAAUCAGGUGGGACUACCCGCUGAACUUAAGC